UGCAUAUCAAAAAGCGGAGGAAAAGAAACUAACAAGGAUUCCCCUAGUAACUGCGAGUGAAGCGGGAAAAGCUCAAAUUUAAAAUCUGGUGGUCUUUGGCCAUCCGAAUUGUAAUCUAGAGAAGUGUUAUCCGCGCUGGACCGUGUACAAGUCUCCUGGAAUGGAGCGUCAUAGAGGGUGAGAAUCCCGUCUUUGACACGGACUACCAGGGCUUUGUGAUACACUCUCAACGAGUCGAGUUGUUUGGGAAUGCAGCUCAAAAUGGGUGGUAAAUUCCAUCUAAAGCUAAAUAUUGGCGAGAGACCGAUAGCGAACAAGUACCGUGAGGGAAAGAUGAAAAGAACUUUGGAAAGAGAGUUAAACAGUACGUGAAAUUGUUGAAAGGGAAACGCUUGAAGUCAGUCGCGUCUUUCAGAAAUCAACCUUACUUUUGUAUGGUGUACUUUCUGAUAGAUGGGUCAGCAUCAGUUUUGGUUGCUGGAUAAAGGUUAGAGAAAUGUGGCAUCUUCGGGUGUGUUAUAGUCUCUAAUCAUAUACAGUGGCUGGGACUGAGGAACUCAGCACGCCGUAAGGCCGGGGCUUUUGCUCACGUUCGUGCUUAGGAUGCUGGCAAAAUGGCUUUAAUCGACCCGUCUUGAAACACGGACCAAAGGAGUC
rnacentral:rRNA from 1 species